rnacentral:rRNA from 1 species
GUCUAUGGCCAUGAUACCCUUCCAAGAUGUCUGACUUUGGAAGCUAAGCAGGGUCGGGCCUGGUUAUAACUUGGAUGGGAGACUACCUAGGAAGACCAGGUGCUGUAGGCA